CCAGCGGGGCAGCCGGGCGGAGGGGCAGCAUCACCUGGUGAUGAGGCCCGCUCGGGUACAGGAACUAUUUCCUCACUCUCCUUUCACACAGAACUCUCCAGAAAGGGGCUCGGAGAAGCGGAAGGAUACGAUCGGGGAGAGAAGACGAUGGAGUGAAGUAACUUCUCGCGAGAAGAGAAAGAAAGAGGUAACCCUGCAGUGGGAGAAGCAGGAAUAGGGCAUCCUGCAGCCUGUCAUCAUACAGACCAGGCUGAGAAGCUACCUUUUCUUUGACUUAGCAUAAUUUCUUGCCACUCAGCUGCAAAAAUGUGAAAGUAUCUGGAAGAAUGCAUCUUUUGGUUGCUCCUGUUUGCUGUGCCUCUCCUUUUCCUGCCUGUCUGUUGCUUGCCCUCUUUAAUGUAUGUUUGCCUUGUUCAUAGUGUGCCAUGUAACAGUAUUUGAAAGUAGUUUAAAAUGAGUUGUAUGCACACUCAGUAUAGUUAAACACAUUGGAAAAAUAAUGCAUGUGAGUACCUGAAGGGACCAGUUCAUAGCAAAGUUUGAACUGUUGAAUACACAGAGAAAGCCAUGUGGCACACAGUCUGGCAGAUUGUUUUCAGCCAUAGUUCUUUAUUUUUGAACAGUAAUUCAUCUUGUUUAUUACAGCAGUGCCUUAGGGCUGGUGGUAUUGUACAAACACAGAGUAGUCAAUUCCUGCCCCUGCAGAGCUAACAAUCUAAAUAGAUAAGAUACACUGGGAGGGGAGGGAAGGGGUAGGACACAGGGAGAGUGAACAAGGUGAUGGCAGGAAGGGUCAUGUUCUAUGAUUUUUGGAGGGGUAUGGGUUUACUUAAGAGGGGAUAAGCUAAAUGAAAGAGGAAUCAGGUGGGGAAUGGGAUAGGUAAGGGGAGAGUGGAGCUGAGGUGAAGAGUGAGGGAUAGGGAGCAAACAGCCAAUUAACACAAGGCAGAGAAAGUUGUGUAGAAAAUGCUGCUAUAGUUUAAAUUAUAGCAUGGACAAUUUAUCAACUGCAGCUUCAGAGAAGAAUAGCUACCACCAGGCAUUUUCUCAGCUUUGUCAUGUGCUGUGUGGAAAUAAAAACAGCAAUUCCAGCUAUUUAGCCAGCUGCCUAGCUGGAAAUAUCUGAUUUUUUUUUUUUAAACUGAUUGUGAAGCAACAGUUAUUUUCUGUGAUCCCAGCACUUCCACCACUAACAACAGUGGAAUUCAUGACUUAUUACCCAUUUGAAGUAUAAUACAUAUGAGUCACUACAUUUGCAUAAGGAAAAGAAAAAUUGCUUUAUUGAUCUUACCACUUGAUUUUGUAUGAUUUCUGGUUAGGAGCAUGCAAUCCUAUCACUACUUACGCUAGUGGUGUGCUUCUGUAAGGGAGCCACCAUGAUGCUUCCUGAGGAAGACACUUCCCUUGUAAGGAUUAUCCUCCUAUGUAACAAUUGCAAGCCAUCUGGAGACCUAAAGCUGAGGAAAUGGCUCAUUAGUUCAAGUGAGCUGGUAGAUGAAUCAUUGUCAUGUAAUCUACUCUUGCUGACACAAAAUUGGGAGGGUUGGACAAAACAAUGUGGAAACUUCCUUAGUCACAUUCUGCAUAAUACAGUCCAGGUUAAAUAUUCAGCACCCUUGCAGGAUGGGGUAUAACAACUAUAACCCACCCUAACUGUGAGCCCCUAGCCACACUGGGCCAGCGGGAGCGGCCCCAACCCUGCGCCAGCUGGCUAGAGCAACCCCAGCCCCGUGCCUCUGAGAGUAGCCCCGGCCACGCCUGCCAGCCCUAGCCCUUCUCUUAUAUUGGUUCACUGAUUCAGUUUUAAUUGUUUAAAUGGUUAACUUUUUAAACAAUAUUUACAUCCCUAUCUGGAACUCCCUCUUCUGGCCUUCAAACCAGCCCCUCCCCCACAUCUCCAAGCUCACCAGAAGCAAGCUCCACACAGACCCUGCCAGAACAGAUGCAAAAGGUGCAGAUGUAUAUACUCUGCUAGACCAAUCAACACUCACGUCAACACACCUUUCAAGUUUCAUGGGUCCUACACAUGCCAAUCAACAUGUGAUGUACCUCAUCGAGUGCAUUAAAUGCCCCUAUAACAACUAUGUGGGUGAAACCAAUCAUUAUGCUCUUGAAUGAACUCACACAGGAAAAUUCUAAAAGACAAAACCCACCAUAUUUCAUAUGGGUGAACACUUAUCGCAAAGUGAUCACGCUAUUUCUGACCUAUCAGGCCUCAUCCUCAAAGGAAACCUGCACAACACUUUUAAAAGAUGAGCCUGGGAUCUUAAAUUCAUAACUUUGCUAGACACCUAAAAUCAUGGUCUUAAUAAAGAUACUGGGUUUAUGGUUUAUUACAACAAUCUGUACCUACUAAUCCCCUUUUUUGUCCUACAACUACAGGAGUGUUAGGCCACUUCCCCUUGAAUGGUCCCUUAGAAUAUGUGUAUGUAGAUGAUGUAGGGAGGAGGGGUUUAGAUUUAUUGGGAACUGGAGAAACUUUUGGAAAAAGGGGGAGCCUAUAGGACAAGGAUGGGCUCCACCUAAAUCAAAAUGGAACCAGGUUGCUGGCACUUAAAAAGGUUAUAGAGCAGUUUUUAAAUUAAGGGCUGGGGGCGGGGAAAACCGACAGGUGCAAAGAAGCACAUGCUUCGAACAGAGACAUCCCUUAGGGAGGAUCUAUUAAUGAAGAUUCUCUAUGUCCUAGUGAGGAGAGGAUGGAUGAUGAUAAAAUAGAGGUAGGAUCUGAUGAGAAACAGUCAAAUGAAAAGAGUCCCCUUCAAUUAAAUCAUGUAAUGGCAGACAGCUAAAAAGUGACAAGUUUUUAAAUGCUUAUAUACCAAUGCUAGAAGUCUAAAUAAGAUGCGUGAACUAGAGUGUCUUGUAUUAAAUGAGGAUAUUGAUAUAAUAGGCAUCACAGAAACUUGGUGGAAUGAGGAUGAUCAAUGGAACACAGUAAUACCAGGGUACAACAUAUAUCAGAAGGACAGAACUGAUCGUGCUGGUGGGGGAGUGGCACUAUGUGGGAAAGAAAAAGUCUAGAAUCAAAUGAAGUAAAAAUCUUAAAUGAACCAAACAGUACCAUAGACUCUCUAUGGAUAGUAAUUCCAUGCUCUAAUAAUAAAAAUACAGCAGUAGGGAUAUUUUACUGCCCACCUGACCAGGAUGUUGCUAGUAACUAUAAAAUGUGCAGGGAGAUUAGAGAGGCUGUUAAAAUAAAAAAUAAUAAUGGAUUUCAGUAUCCCCAUAUUGACUGGGUACAUGUCACCUCAGAACGGGAUGUAGUUUCUUUGACAUGUGAAAUGACUUCUUCUUGGAGCAACUAGUCCUGGAACCCAGAAGAGGUGAGGCAAUUCUUAAUUUAGUCCUAAGUGGAGCACAGGAUCAGAUCUAAGAGGUGAAUAUAGCUGGACUGCUUGGUAUUAGUGACCACAAUAUAAUUAAAUUUAACAUCUCUGUGGCGGGGAAAACACCACAGCAGCCCAACAUUAGCAUUUAUUUUCAAAAAGGGGGACUACACAAAAAUGAGAAAGUUAAACAGAAAUUAAAAGGUACAGUGAAAAAGUGAAAUCCCUACAAGCUGCAUGGAAAUUUUUUAAAGACCCAAUAAUAGAGGCUCAACUUAAAUGAAUACCCCAAAUUAAAAAACAUAAGAGAACCAAAAAAAGUGCCACUGUGGCUAAACAACAAAGUAAAAGAAGCAGUGAGAGGCAGAAAGGCAUCCUGUAAAAAGUGGAAGUUAAAUCCUUUAAUGAGGAAAAUAGAAAAGAGCAUAAACUCUGGCAAAUGAAGUGUAAAAAUAUAAUUAGGAAGGCAAAAAAUUUGAAUAACACCUAGUCAAAGACUCAAAAAGUAACAGCAAAAAAAAAUUUAAGUACGUCAGAAGUAGGAACCCUGCUAACCAACCAAUGCGGCCUCUGGAUGAUUGAGAUAGGAGCGCUCGAGGACAAUAAGGCCAUUGCAGGGAAACUAAAUGAAUUCUUUGCAUUGGUCUUCAUGGCUGAGGAUGUGAGGGAGAUUUCCAAGCCUGAUCCAUUCUUUUUAGGUGACAAAUCUGAGGAACUGUCCCAGAUUGAAGGAUAGCACCAACUUUUCUCAGUGCUGGUGGGUGCUCAACCCCCCUAACCCUGCUUUGAUUCCACCCUUGCCCCAUCCCUUCAUGCCCCUGGCCCCAUUCCAACCCCUUCCCCAAAGUCUCCACCCGAGCCCUGCCUCUUCCCCAAGCAUGCUGUGUUCUCCCUCUGCACCCCCCCCCAGCGCUUGUUGCCACAAAACAGCUGUUUCGCAUUGACAAGCACUGGGAGGUAGGGGGAGAAGCAGGGACAUGGCAUGCUCAGGGGAAGAGGUGGAGGUGAGCUGAGGCGGGGAGCUGCUGGUGGGUUUUUUCCUGUGGGUGCUCCUAUGGAUUGAGGUGUCAUUAGAGGAGGUUUUGGAACAAAUAGAUAAACUAAACAGUAAUAAGUCACCAGAAUCAGAUGGUAGUCAUCCAAGAGUCCUGAAGGAACUCAAAUGUUAAAUUGCAGAACUACUAACUCUAGCCCAUUAGCUAUCAUUUAAAUCAGCUUCUGUACCAAAUGACUGGAGGAUAGCUAAUGUGAUGCUGAUUUUUAAAAAGGGCUUUAGAGGUGAACCUGUCAAUUACAGGUGGGUAAGCCUGAACUCAGUACCAGGCAAACUGGUUGAAACUAUAGUAAAGAACAAAAUUGUCAGACACAUAGAUGAACAUAAUUUGUUAGGUAGAAGUCAGCAUGUUUUUUGUAAAGGGAAAUCAUGCCUCACCAAUCUACUAGAAUUCUUGAGGGGGUCAACAAGCAUGUGGACAAAGGGGAUCCAGUGGAUAUAGUGUACUUAGAUUUUCAGAAAGCCAAGACAAGGUCCCUCACCAAAGGCUCUUAAGCAAAGUAAGCUGUUGUGGGAUAACAGGAAAGGUCCUUUUAUGGACUGGUAACUAGUUAAAAGAUAGGAAACAGUGGGUAGGAAUAAAUGGUCAGUUUUCAGAAUGAAGAGAGGUAAAUAGUGGUGUCCCCCAGGGGUCUGCACGGGGCCCAGUUCAAUAUAUUCAUAAAUGAUCUGGAAGAAGGGGUAAACAGUGAGGUGGAAAAAUUUGCUGAUGAUACAAAACUACUCAAGAUAGUUAAGUCCAAAGCAGACUGCAAAGAGCUACAAAAGGAUCUCACAAAACGGUGUCUUGGCAACAAAAAUGGCAGAUGAAAUUCAAUGUUGAUAAAUGCAAACUAAUGCACGCUGGAAAACAUAUUCCCAACUAUACAUACAAUAUGAUGGGAUCUAAAUUAGCUGUUAGCACUCAAGAAAGAGAUCUUGGAGUCAUUGUGGAUAGUUCUCUGAAAAUAUCCAGUAAAUGUGUAGCGGCACUCAAAAAAGUGAACUAAAUGUUGAGAAUCAUUAAGAAAGGGAUAGAUAGUAAUACAGAAAAUAUCAUAUUGCCUCUAUAUAAGUCCAUGGUACACCCACAUCUUGAAUACUACGUGCAGAUAUGGUCGCCCCAUCUCAAAAAAGAUAUUGGAAUUGGAAAAGGUUCAGAAAAGGGAAACAAAAAUUAUUAGCUGUAUGGAACGGCUGCCAUAUGAGGAGAGAUUAAUAAGAUUGGGAUUUUUCAGCUUGGAAAAGGGAUGACUAAGGGGAGAUAUGAUAGAGGUCUAUAAAAUCAUGUGGAGAAAGUAAAUAAGGAAGUGUUAUUUACUCCUCAUAACGCAAGAAUUAGGGGUCACCAAAUGAAAUUAAUAGGCAGCAGAUUUAAAACAAAAAGAAGUAUUUUUUCAUACAGUGCACAGUCAACCUGUGGAACUCUUUGCCAGAGGAUGUUGUGAAGGCCAAGACUAUGCCAGGGUUAAAAAAAGAACUAGAUAAGUCCAUGGAGGAAAGUCUAUCAAUGGCAAUUAGCCAGGAUGGACAGGGAUGGUGUCUCCUAGCUGCUGUUUGCCAGAAGCUGGGAAUGGGCAACAGGGGGAUGGAUCACUUGAUGGUGAUUACCUGUUCUGUUCAUUUCCUCUGGGGCACUUGGCAUUGGCCGCUGUCAGAAGACAAGAUACUGAGCUAGAUGGACAUUUGGUCUGACCUAGUGUGGCCAUUCUUAUGUGCUAACUAUUUGUGCUAAACUGUCCAUUUAAUCUUCUAUUUAGCGGUGAUACUGUACCUUUUCCAGACCUGAAGAAGAGCUUUCUGUACAUUGUGAUGGAGCAGUGGGAGAGUGUCCAGGGGAGAUAUAUAAGCCCUAGGUAAUUAAGGUAUGGUUCCCUGUAGUCUAGGGAAGAUUACUACAGGUUAAUUGGAGCACCUGUAGCCAAUUAAUACCCUCUCAGGGACCUAAUAAAAAGCCGUGCUUCAGCUAGACAGGGUAGAGUGAGGAAAGAGAGAGGACUGGAGUUUGGAGGUAUGUUGCUGAGAAUUGAAAGACUAGAGAUCUGGAGGAAGGGAGACCCUGCCCUUGCGCAGCAGGGAGAUUCACGCUUAGUCCUUGACACUGGGAGAGGAACCCUACCAAGGGGGAAGAAGGUAAGAAACCGACAGAGGUUGGGAGGGGCUGGGGCUCGGAGUGAAGAGCAAACCCAGACCCCUUCCCUCUUUUUCCACCUUCCUGGGCUCCUGGUGGGGGUCCUUGGUGCCCCAAAAGCAGAGCAAGGGAUGGUGUUCUCGUCCCCCUGCCAAGAAAAUCAUGGGACUCCUCCCCAUACCAACACUGGCCAUUUUGUCACAUGAUCAAAAGCUUGUCCCUCUCACUCCAACAGAAGUUUGUCCAAUAAAAGUUGUUACAAAACUGUUUCUCUAAUAUCGCAGGACCAAUAUGGCUACAACAAAACUGCAUACAAACACCCUGUGAGUCAAAUCAAAUUCAGAACCCUUGGGUAUGACACACUGUACAAAUGUUGCCAAACUUCUAAAAAGGACAGAACUUUCAGAUCUCUGUCUGAGUCAGAUACAAUGCUUCAAGGAUUUACCCAGGAUAGGGUUUACAUUGGGUCUCUAGGUUUAAUCCCACAUGUCCAUUUGUGAUUAAUGCCCAUUUCUAAUCCAGUGGCAGGUUGCCAGGUAACAUGCUGGAAUGUUUGCUGUUUUUCCUUUCCCUCAGGCAGUGGUGAGCUGGAGCCAGUUCGUGCUGGUUCAUGCGAACUGUUUGUUAAAUUUUGAAGCAGUUUUAGAACCGGUUGUUAACCUGUUUCCCUGCGAGGGGGCACUGCGGCUUUGAUGUGCUCCGGCUGGGAAGAGAUGUAAUUCCUCCUUUAGCCGCCAGGGGCACUGCACUGCAGAAUCCAUGUGGGCCGCCACCUGGCCCUGGGCACAGGCCCUGUUGCUGCUGGUGCGACCCUGACCCUGGCCCUGAGGCUCCCACUGCUGCCUUGUGGGUCCCUGGCUGCUCUGCUGGGCCUGGGCUGUGUCCUGCUGCUCAGGCUGGUCCAAGCUGCUCUCCCUGUGAGUACCCGCCACCCUGCCUGCAGUCAGCCCCUGUCUCCAGCCAGCCCUGCACCCCCUGCCCGCAACCAGCCCCUGCCGCACCCCCUGCCCUGCCUCCAGCAGCCCCGCCCCCUGCCCUGUCUCCAGCCAAUCCCUGAUACACACCCUUGCCUGAAGCCAGCCAGCCAGCCCCACAUUCCUCUGUCUCCAGUCAACCCCUGCCACACACCCCCGCGGCCCUGCCCAAAGCCAGCCAGCCCCACACUCCCUGCCCUGCCUGCAGCCAGACCUGAACCCCCUGCCUCCAGCUAACCCUGCCCCACACCCCUGUCUGCAGUCAGCUCCACGUCCACUGGUGCCCUGCAGUUCCCAGGGCAGUAACCCUGCACACCUGCUUCAAUGAGGGGGACAGGGAGCAGCUGGGACCCACAUAUGUGCACACCCUAGGGUGACCAGACAGAAAGUGUAAAAAAUCGGCACAGGACAGGGUGGGGGGGUAAUAUGAGCCUAUAUAAGACAAAGACCCAGAAAUCGGGACUGUCCCUAUAAAAUCAGGACUUCUGGUCACGCUAGCACACCCCCAGGGAAUGGCAGGGACCCACACAUGUGAAAUGGAGCUCAUUUCUUGUUCAGGCCCAUCUUUUAAAAAAAAACUUUAGGUGGGGUUAACAUACAUCAAUAUUUUCCUGGACAUGUCAGGCUUUAUAGUUCUUAAAUCACUGUCCGGGAGAAAUUUUUAAAAUUUAAAAUUCCCGGGAAAAUACGGACAUAUUUUUUAUUGUUAAGUAUGGCUCUCAAUAACUCAAUGCAUUGCCACUUCUUAUGGAGAAAGGUACAAAAAAUACCUACUGUGGCACAUCCCUUAAAUCAGAACUUUUUAUAGGGAACCUGUUAAGAUUUUGGCAGUUCAUCACUGCCCUCAGGUUCAGGUUAAACUAGCAGCGGGAGGACUUACUGAUGUCCUCUUAGACUUACCACAAUUACUAAUUAUUUGUAUGCUCUUAAAGACCUCAGUUAGGGUGGGGGCCAUAUGCUAGGUGACAUACUGAUAUAUAGAAAGACAAUCUCUCUGCCCCAAAAAGUUUACAACCUUUAACCUGAAUUUGCUGCUGGUAUAAGCAGGGGCAGCUCUGUCAAAAGAAAUUGCUCCCAUCUGCCCCAGUGUUGUCUUUAUCCCUUUGUCUUUGCAUCACAUCUUACGCAUUACCGAAAAAAGAAUGAGUCAUGGGAAAGGACAAUCUUGAGGUGUUAUGAUCGCUGUGGUAUUAUAAAUAAGCAGGAGGUUAGACCAGAUGAGCAUGAUGUUAAAGUCAGUCUAUAAACCCUGGUAGCUUGAAACAAAUGCCCUUUGCUGUUUUUAACUCUCUAUUAUACCUGCACUAUAACUUCUGGUUAUAGGGUUGUUCUUGAGUGCUGAUUUGUUACUUUUUGUGUGUAUAUGAACAUAGAUCCAGAGUUUUUACAUUGGGUUCUACCUGCACACCUAAAAAUGGGCAUUGGAGUGGACAGGUGGAUUUUUAAGCUGUGCAAAUACAGAGCUGCCCUGUCAAGGGAUUUAGGGGACUGAUCCUUCACCACUGAACUCAUUGGGAGUUCUGCCAUUGACUUCAAUGACAGCAGGGUCAAGCCCUUAUUCAUCAACACUCAGAAAUGGUGGGGAGUGGAGAUGAUAUGGAACUUUGCAAGAAAGUGGUGAGAGCAGCCCAUAACAGAAAGUGGAAAUACCCCAGAAGUGUGUCAAACGACAGGAAAAAUAUUUCUGUCCACUCGUUUUAACUGCUAAAAUGGCUCUAAUGGGCUAAAUUAUGCCUUUCAAGGCUCAAGAGGCAAAAUUCUGUGACUCAUAGCAGAGUUGCAUUUUUUAACCACAAAGUGACUAGUUUUAAAUGAAAACAUACCCAGCAGAUCAUUUUACAGCUAUUAUAAAGAUAUCAAGCAAGCCAUAUUUUACCUACAGUAUUAAAAAAAAAUCCUAAUGUGUCAAGCCUCGAGCUUUUUGAACUUGUCAAUAAAGCAUUGUUGUAGUAAGGAAAACCAAUCAUUAAAUUAUUUAAGCAAAUUUAAUGCUUGUGAAAAGCACAAGUCUGUUUGAGAGGCCUGGAGAAUGCAGUUUUCUAUACACAGAGCAGUUACAGCAUAUAUAGCAGUAAUGCAAGAUUCUCCUAGAGUGUCCUGCCAGCGCUCCUCAACUGUGCCCUAAAGAUUAGCACUUUUAGCAGUGAAAGGAAAGUUCCAUUCACUUGUUGGCCUCUCCAUCAAGAGCACCAAUAACAGUGAAGAUUACAGUGGUAGUUUUGUGAGUGAUAUACACAUGAAACCUGUGCAUUUGAUUUCAUGUAGGCUGUCAUGAAAGAGUCAGUGACUUUUGAUCCGUACCACUCAGGGAUGGAGUCAAACCAGUAACCAUGAGCUGUGUCUUUCUCCCAAUCUUCUAAACCAUAUAAUCUCUUCCUAGUUGCAUAGCUACAGCAUCAAGGCAUGAAUGGAUGAUCAUCAUGAGUGUGAUCAGAAACAAAAGAGCAGCCUAUGCUGGACUAACUAGAAACAGAGAGAGCCAGGGCUAGAAAUAGUGACAUGGACACUGACUAGAUAAGUAUUACAUUAAAAACAAAAUCCUUAAACAGUCAUGUCUAUAGUCUCUUAAAAACCUCUAAAUCUUACAAAUUUCUAUGCUUCCUGAAUCUGAGUUACUAAAAUAGACAUUUUUAAAUCUCUCUGUUAUAAUAAUCUAGCAUUUUCACUGUUUAUAAUAUUUCUUUCUCCUCGGCAAUCUUGGCACUGUGGAAUGAGACCGUUCAGUUGCAACUUACUGUUAGAUUUUCUUUUGGGUUCUUAUGCUGUUGUGGUUGGGUGUCCAGCCCUGCAGGCAGGUUUUUCAAUUUUUAGCUUUUAUUCUUUUGUUUUCUGAACGCUGAAAAUGUUUCAUAUUAAUUUUUGUAACUCUCAAGCCCUCCAAAGAAGAUAUCCGUGUCUGUUCCCUUACAUGUGUGGUCAAGCAUGAGUGGCAUUGUAACUAUAAACAGUUCUAAAGAAAAUAGAAGAACCUGUGAGCAAGGAGUGAAGGUCCCAAUUGCAUGUGCUUAACUUGAAGUCAGUGGGACUUAACGUUAAGCAUAGUCAUGAUUAGAGGGUCUAGCCAGCUGAAUGGAAAGAACAUCUCAGUCCUGUUUACUGAUGUUCAGCAUCACAUUCCGCCCAUUCAUUUUUAAUUUAUUUUGAUUUAAAGCAAUAUAUGUUCAAAAAAGCACCUAUCCUACGCUCCUGGUGCUUCUGCCAGUAUUUAAGAAUGCAAUCAACAAAAGCAGAACCACAGCUGCUGUCUGCUCCCAAGCCAAAAAUAACCAACCACAACAAAAUCAAGCCUAACAGUACUGUCCAUCCCCAUACAAACAAGAGCCUCUAUUAUGACCUCUUUUUCCUUCAAAGGCCGGGGCAAAGAGAUGUUCCUUGCAGACGGCCAUGAAGGUCACCAAAUUCAGGCUAGUUUAGACCAGAAGUAGAUUCUAUGUUGAAGGCCCUUCACAGAGAACUCCUAGACAGUAUCAUUCUCUCUUAUUUAGUCCAAGGGGGCUCUAGCAUCACUGCUUAUAACUGUGGCAGUAGGGCUCGGAGGGAAAGGUGGUUCCUCAAGAAGACCAGUCUCAAGUCAGUAAGGGCUUUAUAGGUGAAAACCAACAUACUAAAUUCCAUGCAGACACCAAAAAGCAGCCAACACAGCUAUCUAUCCAUCCCUGUCACAGGGCAUCUCCAUCACCAUCUGGUGAUCCACAGUGCCUGACUAGUUCAGAUGGUUUCAGUCACAAAUGUACUGCAGGCUGUUUAUCUUUCACCAAGGUGUAUAUUUAUUCCCCUCUUACAUAGGAAUACCAGGCAAUACAGGUGUACACUAAGGAUAGGCUUCAUAGGUACUAGAACAAUUUUUAUGGUGGGGGUACUGAAAAGCAUUGAACAAAACUGUAAACCCUGUAUGUGAUGGAAACCACUUCAGAUGACAGGGUGCUGCCACACCCCCUGCACCUCUAGUUCCAGCACCUGCAACACUCACUCCCCAGCCCAGGUUCACCCUGUGAGCCUCCUUCUGAGCUAUACCUUGCUUCCUGUUUCCUCCCCUUAUAUUCUCCCCAAUCCUUAUUAGCCCGGUGGUUGUCAUCCAGAUACUCACAAUCCCCCACCAGAAAGUGUGUAACUGCCCUCAGCUGAGCCUGCAGGCAAUGUCAGUGAUCAGGGUGCUGCUGGAAGAACCCCAUCACAAUCCCCAUACACCCCAAUCUAUCUAAUAAGAUUCCAGUGUUGUCAUUCGGUCUGUGUGUCAUUCUGAAGCCUAGAAUGUCUGUUGAGUCAUUGUGAAGUGAUGGAAACAACUACAGGCAUGGUUGAGGGCUCUUUUUGUUAAGAAUAUCAGGGAUCAUCCCUGGGAUUCGCAGUCUCUCACCAUCCAGUUUUUAAGUUCUCAGCCGUCUUCUGCUUUUUUACACUUUAUAAAUUACAGCAGUAUGACAGCAUGGGCUUUCACUUAGUUUGACUUGGAAUUGUGGAGAAGACGGGAAAUGUUAAGAGGACCAAAGCAUGCUAAUUUACUUAUAUGGCCCCCCAUUACCAUACUAUCUCAGCAUCUCACAACCUUUAAUAUAUUUUUCCUCACAAUGACCCUUGAGGUAGCAAGUGCUAUUAUCCGCAAUUUGCAGAUGGAAAAAAUUACAGAUGGAAAACAGAGACACAAAAGCCCAGAUGCUCAAAGGUAUUUAGGCACCUAACUGCCAUUGAAAUCAAUUAAAAUCACCAAGGAAGUCUGUGACAGCAUAUGGAAUUGAACCCAGAUUUCCCAGCUUCUAGGGUAGCUCCCCAACCAGCUUUUGCCCCAGCUAUAAGCACCCCAAUCACUAACUCACUUUGGAGAGGCCAGGAACCAGAAAAGACCCUCCAAACUGGAGAAGGGAAAUUUGAAUUUUAAAACAAUAAGCACCCACUGUUAACUUUAACCCCCAAACACAGGUUCUGGAAUUGCAUGUAACCUAGGAUUUAUGCAAUGAGAGUUUGCUAACAAUGUAGUUGUAAAAUUAAUCAGUUUAUACCAUUAACCUCUGCAACACUUCACCUUUAAAAUUCUGUUAAUUAACACAACAGACCAGAUGAAUUCCUGGAAUCAAUGGAGUUAUUUGGGGAUGAAUCUGGCCCCAUCUAUUGGAAUUGAUAAGGGCAGUAAGCUCCGUAAUAUUGCAGGUAUGGUGCCUUCAAAGAUAAAAUCAUGUUUUUCCUUCCCAAAACAUUAGAUCACUUUUUUCUCAUCCAGCCCUUCUGGUUAUCAAGUUCAGAAUGUGAAGUAAAGUUCUGAUGGUGCUUGUCACCAUUGUGAUAGAAGGAGCUGCUAGUGCUGGUGGAGGUAGUGGCUAAACUGUGGCUUGGUAACUGUCACCUGAGCUGAAUGCUGAACUGGCUGCAGCAGUCAGCUGUUCUCUUGCUGCCUUCAAUUCCCAUCCUUCCUACAAUAAUGUUCUAGAAAUUCUUCUCAGGUGAUCAAGUUUAGGGUGAAUUUCCAAUUAAUUCCUGUGCUUUUCUUCUGCAUUUGGGUUCUCCCUAUGGAAACCCUGUUCUCAUUCCCUGUUUUGCCUUCCUUUACUUCCCUGAUACUUGAUUAAAAAAAAACAAAAACCCACCACCUCAUAAAAAAGGUGUUUUCCCUUUCCUGGGAUGUUUCUGCUACUUUGAUUCAGUUUAUGACUAUUUGCUGCUAUCUUUUCACCCCGUUCUCUAGCCUUUUCCUCCUCUUCACAUUGCCAUUAAGGAAUGGACCCUAUUCCCUGCAAAAGAGGAAGACAACAGCCUCACUCAGACUUCUCCAUGUAUCUCACUCAUCCCUAGCUUGCACCCCAAUGGGAUGGCAUGAGUAUCUGCUGUCCUUCCCUGCUGCUCCCUGCUCUCCAUUGUUCCAAGAGGGAGGAGUUCAGGAGCUGGGAAAGUUCACAAGUGCUAGGUAGGAGUCUCAGCUGUCCCCUGAGGGAGGGCAUGAUGUUCAGAACUGAACCAAAGGCUAAUCCCACCCCUGGCACAUCAGAGGAAGAACUCUCAAGUCAUGGGCAGCAGGUGAAGCUUCCCCUGGGGGAGGUUAGCUUCCUGUCCCGCUUCUUCCACCCAUGGCCCCACCCCUGCUCCAACUCAGCCUUAGCCCCGCUUGCUGCUGCCCACCACAUCCCUCCUCUCCUCCACCCUCUUCCCCACAAGGACCCCAUCACCCACCACAUCCCUUCUCUUCUCCACACCCCCUUCUCAUGCGAGGCCCACAGGCACACGGCAAGUGGGAGGCACCUCACAAAGGAGGGACGUGGUGAGCAGCGGGGACCUCCGCAGAGGGGGUUGGAAUAGAGGAGAGGAGGGACUCAGCCAGGCACCCCUGGGGACCUCAGGGAAGAGGCAGAGCAGGGACAGAAAGAUGCAGAGUGCAGGCAGGGCCACCAUGGCCUAGGCAUCUGGUGGUAGCUGCACCAGUGGAGGCCAAGCCUUCCUUAGCCUAUUAUACCCGCUACCUAUGUCUCAAGUGCUCAUUUUGUGGAGAGCUUAUUCUCAUUUGUUGCCCAGCCAGCCCCACAGUGAUGGCUGCAGCCUGAUGUUACCUGGUGGAAGAGUGCGUGUGAACUUCUCCUUACCAGGACUGAAGAAUGGGGAGAACGGAAGGCACAAGCUGGGGGGAAGCUGAUAGAAGCAGCCAGACAGGGGGAGCCAUUAAAGUCCCAUGUGGGGAAGGACUGGGGGUAGCAUCUAGGCAGGGGGAGAUAAUGUUCUGAGGUGCCCAACUGUCUCCUAGAAUCUCCUUGAUUGAUAGAGCCGAAGGCUAAUCACAGCCCCACAAUCUCAGGAGGCAGGACUUUUUGACAACUCUCCUGUCUCUAGAUCAGUGGUUCUCAAACUAGGGCUGCCGCUUGUUCAGGAGCUACGAUCCGCCGAACCUGCGGACGUGGCAGGUAAACAAACCAGCCUGGCCUGCCAGGGGCUUUCCCUGAACAAGCAGUGGCCCUAGUUUGAGAACUACUGCUCUAGCCAGGGCCGGCGCUACCAUUUAGAAACCUCCUUUCAAAUGCCAAGCUGCUAAAUUUAACUUGCUUGGAUCUUUGUGAAGAACUAGCCACUGGGAUAAAAAACGUGGCAUUGGAUUUGGGAACAAAAGUGGAUCCACUGACAUGCUCAUGAGUUUGGAAGACUUCCUUUCUGAUCUUCUGUAUUAUCCUGGUGGUGAUGAGCAUUGGAGGAAAAGCAUAAAGUAAGCCCUCUGGCUACAUGAGCAACAAGGCAUCUAUGCCUAGGGCUCCUGGUUCCCUUUUCUUGCAAAGUAUUUGUGAAUCUUCCAGGUUUGCCUUGGAUGCAAAAAGAUCUAGAAUUGGAGCUCCAAAACUUUUGAUGAUCAUUCGGAAGGAUGCAUCCUGAAGAGUCCAUUCCACCUGAUUUUUUUUUACUUUUUUUUGCUCAGACAGUUGGCCUUUGCAUUGCCAGUGCCCUUGAUAUGCCAGGCCCUAAACUGUAGUGGGUGGAGACAUGUUGCUUCAUUUUUUUAGAUCCCUUAACCUCCUCAUCCUCCCUUCCAUCCCAAAGGUUUACAUUCGUCAUUGCCAACGUGUUGUCUGUCAUUAUCAGAACAUAACCAUUUUGGCAAUGCUGGGGCCAGUUGUUGGCUGGCAUACUGUAGUGGGUUGGUGGUAGUGGUCCCUGCUGCCCAUGGUCCAUGGGUGGCCACUCCGCCUUAUGUGUCGCCCACUGUUGGGGAAUUAGCAUGGCAACACACAGCCUGGGGCUCUGGCCUGCAGUCAGGGCAGAGUAGCAAACACCAGUAGGAGUCCAAGCCCUUAGCAAGGCAGGGUAAGAAGUCUCUAGCUUGGGGCCUGUAUUUAGGGUCGAGCAACAAACAGUUCGGAGCCAAAGCCCUUUGUCAAGGCAGGCAACAAGUCCUCAGGCAGGGGUGAAGCACCCAGAUACAGUCAAGGAGGCUCAGGGAGGAUUCACAGAUCUUAGUGUCCUAGCUUGACAGAUUGUAGGCUGAUGCAGGCCUCCUGGCCUAAAGAGGGGGAGUACUGCCACCCCACAGGUGGGGUGUCUAGUGUUGUCUAGUUUCCCUGGGCUACGUCCUACCUACCCCUCUGGGUGUACCUAGAUCCCUAGAGGGUCUCAGGCUAGAAGGCCCAUGGUAGUCCCGACAACUCCUCUGUGGCUUGGUCAGCAGGCAGCUCCAGCAGAUUUGACCAUUCUUCAGCUCUGCAGGGGCUGCGGCAGUCUCCCAGCUCAGGAGGAGGCAUCUGACUCCUUCGGCAGCUGCAGCACAACUGAGCUCCCAGACCCGCCUUUUAUACUUCCUGUCCCACCCACUGACUUCCAGUGGGAGGGAUGAACGUGGCCUGGUUCCGCCUACCAGGGUUCAGUGAGUGGUGCCUCCUCCUUUGGGUCUGUGAGAGGACACUCCUCCUCACUACACAUACUUUAUUGCCUUCAGCUCUAGAAAAAAAAUUCAUUCUGAGAAGGACCUUUUUCCUUGGGCUACCAACUUCUCAGAGAAUGCUCUACAUGUUUCCCAACAGACCUCUCUGGCUCCACCAUUGCCAUCCCUCCCUGGAAUUUCUCUGGAUCCAUCCACCAAACCAGAGAUCUCAACACAAGUGAUGGAACUUUCACUAUCCAGUAUGGAAAGAAAAAAAAAUAAUCAGAAAAUGGUGCAGAAGAGACAGCAGGAAACUCUGGAGAGUCCCAUAUGCAUUCUUGUCCAAGGCACUAUCCCUAUGCAUGACAUGAUCAUCCCUAGAAUGCUCAUGAAGGUGCUUAUCUAAUGUCCUCAGGCACCUCCUCAGGGGGGUAAUUGUUGAUCUGAUCUUUUCCCAUUUUUCAGAUGGAACUGCUCUUGGAACUAGACGGAACAGGUUGCCUAGCCUUCUUUUUCACUGGUGAUGUCCAUGAAGACAAGGAUGAACAUAAAUGUUAUGACGAAGCAGAACCAGACACAAACACCUCUUCUUUUUUUUUUUUAAAUGUUUUUUCUUUCCAAGUAUAAAAACCUGGUCAGCAGUGCUUUUAGCUCUGGCACCUGCUGGAGAGAAGACAGAGGAACUACUAUUCCCAGAAGAACAGGCCAGUUUUCUCCUAAGUUUCUCAGGUAAUUUCCUGAACCCAUUUUCCCUUUAAUUUUACUCCUUAGGGGACAUGGGGAUUGGGAACUGAGUCCUAAGAAUCUCUUCUGCUAACAGGCAUUUCUUUAUCUUUGCUCCUUUGAGAGUGGUUACAAGGCCUUUAAGGGGACACUGCAGCUGCUGCCUGGGGCUCACAAGAUGGUGGCCUCUGACAUAAAGGCACUCUUCACACCAAAUCUGAGAGUUCCCUAGUCAAGAGAGAAUUUCUUCCUCAGGGGAAGAGUCCCUUCUCCCCUCCAUGCAGAAUUCCUGACUUCCCUUGGAGCUAAGGGCAGGAGACCAACCAAAUUGCUCAAUGACGGCAAGGCGAGGCAAACGAUCAAACUCGUGCUGCAAAAUGGUGUUAGAUACUGCUCCUUGCUCUGUCUCUGGAGGAUUUCUCCACAUUGGACCACGGGCCUUUGCUGUAAUUGCCUCCGGUCCCCAAAAGGCUCUCAAUCUUUCCACCAUACUUCAUGACAUUUGUGGCCCAGCUGUCAGAUCCCCACUGGUGAGGAACUCCUGGGGAACCGGCUCCUGAGUCAGGGUAUGGCAGCCAAAGCGAAACCUUUCUGGACUUGCGGAUGUGGUGGCUGGAGUGCACAAGGCACAAACCAGUCCUGCACCGUCUGGAGGGACACAGUCUGUCUUUCUUCACCAACUUCCUCACUUGUUAUCUGAGCAGUGAGUGAGGGGAGAGCAGAGUGGGGAUGACAUGAAGGUGCUAUAUUAAUUUCAUGCAGGAGACCAAGAACCCCUUCAAGGUUUUUUGUUUGUUUUGUUACAAAUUCUCUCGCUCAUGAUAGGUGCUGGAUUCCACUGCCCUGCCAAUAACUACAGGAUGCAGAAAACAGGGAGGGGCUCCAAAAUAUGGGAGCUAGUCUCUCAUCAGCAGUCCAAUCAAUUCUGAUUCUGCCCUUACCUCUACAGCCAGGUGACUACCCUACACUGAGGAUCUGUGGACCUGGCUCUGCCUUUCUGAAUAAGACCUGUCUCUCGCAAAGGGCAGAUGAGUGCAGUAGGUUGUGAAAUUAUUCACCAACAUGAUCUCCACCCCUUCCAGAAGUGGAGGGUACUUGCUAUAGUGGGGGAAGAGGCCAGCCGGCUAUUUCCUAUAACGUGAACCAAGAUUGAGCAAUUUCUCUGUAUGAAAUUCUACUUUAUCUCCCCUGGAGAGAGAGAGAGAGA